rnacentral:rRNA from 1 species
AGGGUUUGAUCCUGGCUCAGAACGAACGUUGGCGGCCUGGAUUAGGCAUGCAAGUUGAGCGUACCCAGCAAUGGGGAGCAGCGUAAGGGGCAGUAAGGCAUGGGUAUCUACCCGGGGAUCGGGCAUAGCCUGUAGAGAUACAGGGUAAUUCCCGAUGAUGUCGCAAGACCAAAGCUCCGGCGUCCCUGGAGGAGCCCAUGUGAUAUUAGCUAGUUGGUGGGGUAACGGCCUACCAAGGCGAAGAUGUCUAGCGGGUGUGAGAGCACGACCCGCGCCACUGGCACUGAGACACUGGCCAGACACCUACGGGUGGCUGCAGUCGAGGAUCUUCGGCAAUGGGCGCAAGCCUGACCGAGCGAGGCCGCGUGGGCGAUGAAGGCCUUCGGGUUGUAAAGCCCUGUCGAGGGGGAGAAAAGCCGCAAGGCGUGAUCUAUCCCUGGAGGAAGCACGGGCUAAGUUCGUGCCAGCAGCCGCGGUAAGACGAACCGUGCGAACGUUGUUCGGAAUCACUGGGCUUAAAGGGCGCGUAGGCGGGCUAUCAAGUCCGGGGUGAAAUCCUCCAGCUCAACUGGAGAACUGCCUCGGAUACUGAUGGUCUCGAGGAGGAUAGGGGCACACGGAACUGUGGGUGGAGCGGUGAAAUGCGUUGAUAUCCAUAGGAACUCCGGUGGCGAAAGCGGUGUGCUGGAUCCUUUCUGACGCUGAGGCGCGAAAGCCAGGGGAGCAAACGGGAUUAGAUACCCCGGUAGUCCUGGCCCUAAACGUUGGGUACUAGGUAGUAGACUAGACAUGGGUUUACUUCCGAAGCAAAAGUGCUAAGUACCCCGCCUGGGGAGUAUGGUCGCAAGGCUGAAACUCAAAGGAAUUGACGGGGGCUCACACAAGCGGUGGAGCAUGUGGCUUAAUUCGAGGCAACGCGAAGAACCUUACCUGGGUUUGACAUGUGCGAAAGCGGUGAGAAGUAGGACCCGGAAACGGGAACGAACGGUAUCCAAUCCGGAACUCAUCACAGGUGCUGCAUGGCUGUCGUCAGCUCGUGUCGUGAGAUGUCGGGUUAAGUCCCAUAACGAGCGAAACCCUUACCCUCAGUUGCUAAUUAUAGGACUCUGGGGGGACUGCCGGUGUUAAACCGGAGGAAGGUGGGGAUGACGUCAAGUCCUCAUGGCCUUUAUGCCCAGGGCUGCACACGUGCUACAAUGGCGUGAACAAAGGGAUGC